rnacentral:rRNA from 1 species
GAUGAACGCUGGCGGCGUGCCUAAUACAUGCAAGUCGAGCGAACAGACGAGUAGCUUGCUCCUCUGACGUUAGCGGCGGACAAGUGAGUAACACGUGGAUAACCUACCUAUAAGACUGGGAUAACUUCGGGAAACCGGAGCUAAUACCGGAUAAUAUAUUGAACCGCAUGGUUCAAUAGUGAAAGACGGUUUUGCUGUCACUUAUAGAUGGAUCCGCGCCGCAUUAGCUAGUUGGUAAGGUAACGGCUUACCAAGGCAACGAUGCGUAGCCGACCUGAGAGGGUGAUCGGCCACACUGGAACUGAGACACGGUCCAGACUCCUACGGGAGGCAGCAGUAGGGAAUCUUCCGCAAAGGGCGAAAGCCUGCCGGAGCAACGCCGCGUGAGUGAUGAAGGUCUUCGGAUCGUAAAACUCUGUUAUUAGGGAAGAACAAAUGUGUAAGUAACUAUGCACGUCUUGACGGUACCUAAUCAGAAAGCCACGGCUAACUACGUG